rnacentral:rRNA from 1 species
CCUGACUGCUAUCGGAUUGAUACUAAGCCAUGCGAGUCUUUGUAGCAAUACAAGGCAGACGGCUCAGUAACGCGUAGUCAACCUAACCUAUGGACGGGAAUAACCUCGGGAAACUGAGUAUAAUGCCCGAUAGAACAUUAUGCCUGGAAGGGUUUAUGUUCCAAAUGAUUUAUCGCCGUAGGAUGGGACUGCGGCCUAUCAGUUUGUUGGUGAGGUAAUGGCCCACCAAGACUAUUACAGGUACGGGCUCUGAGAGGAGUAGCCCGGAGAUGGGUACUGAGACACGGACCCAGGCCCUAUGGGGCGCAGCAGGCGAGAAAACUUUGCAAUGUGCGAAAGCACGACAAGGUUAAUCCGAGUGUUUCCUGCUAAAGGAAUCUUUUGUCAGUCAUAACACCACUAACGAAUAAGGGGUGGGCAAGUUCUGGUGUCAGCCGCCGCGGUAAAACCAGCACCUCAAGUGGUCAGGAGGAUUAUUGGGCCUAAAGCAUCCGUAGCCUGCUUUGUAAGUUUUCGGUUAAAUCCAUAUGCUCAACAUAUGGGCUGUCGGGAAUACUGCAUAGCUAGGGAGUGGGAGAGGUAGACGGUACUCCAUAGGAAGGGGUAAAAUCCUUUGAUCUAUGGAAGACCACCUGUGGCGAAGGCGGUCUACCAGAACACGUUCGACGGUGAGGGAUGAAAGCUGGGGGAGCAAACCGGAUUAGAUACCCGGGUAGUCCCAGCUGUAAACGAUGCAGACUCGGUGAUGCGCUGGCUUGUGGCCAGUGCAGUGCCGCAGGGAAGCCGUUAAGUUUGCCGCCUGGGAAGUACGUACGCAAGUAUGAAACUUAAAGGAAUUGGCGGGGGAGCACCACAAGGGGUGAAGCCUGCGGUUC